GCCAGUGUGGCAUAAUGGUUUGAGUGUUGGCUGCAACUCUGGAGAUCAGGGUUCAAUUCCCUGCUUAGCCA